rnacentral:rRNA from 1 species
AUUGAACGCUGGCGGCAGGCUUAACACAUGCAAGUCGAGCGGAGAUGAGGUGCUUGCACCUUAUCUUAGCGGCGGACGGGUGAGUAAUGCUUAGGAAUCUGCCUAUUAGGGGGGGACAACAUUCCGAAAGGAAUGCUAAUACCGCAUACGUCCUACGGGAGAAAGCAGGGGAUCUUCGGACCUUGCGCUAAUAGAUGAGCCUAAGUCGGAUUAGCUAGUUGGUGGGGUAAAGGCCUACCAAGGCGACGAUCUGUAGCGGGUCUGAGAGGAUGAUUCGCCACACUGGGACUGAGACACGGCCCAGACUCCUACGGGAGGCAGCAGUGGGGAAUAUUGGACAAUGGGGGGAACCCUGAUCCAGCCAUGCCGCGUGUGUGAAGAAGGCCUUAUGGUUGUAAAGCACUUUAAGCGAGGAGGAGGCUACUGAGACUAAUACUCUUGGAUAGUGGACGUUACUCGCAGAAUAAGCACCGGCUAACUCUGUGCCAGCAGCCGCCGUAACAC